AAAAAAAAUAAUCUUGCAAGAGAGCGAUGGCGAUCUCUUUUGAUUGCAUUGUUUAUCUUACUACGAUUUGGAUGUGUUUUGCUUUGGUAUAUAUUCUACGGAAAUAUCAAAGUGGACAUGUUCGCGGAAUGUUUUCUAAAUAUUAUCAUUGCACUUUCACAAACUCUGAUUGAGCUCAAGACGAGUUUUAUAAAAUUUGAAAUUCAUAAAUAUAUGGAAACUAUUAAAUUUGAACUCAUGGAACUUAUUGCUGACAUUAAAUCAGAUAAAAAGCCCAAACCCCCGAUGUGUGAUAUUUGUAUAUCUAUUUGUGCUCUCAGCAAGGCUUUCGUGAGCACAUGUAACAUGUUUUUUAAAUACAAUACAUCCGAGGAUUUAUUGGCUGUGACUUUAGCUUCAAUGUUUACGGUAAAUUUAGUAGGUACCGUCUACACCUUAGCAGCAGCGAUCACUUCGACAGAUUAUGAACAUAAAACAAAGCAGUCUUGUGUGGAAUUCGCUUGGAUAAUAUUGCAUAUAUUUAGAGCUAUUUUGUAUGUGGAAGCAUCGUAUCAAAUAAGCAAAGAGGUGGAAAGUAUAAGGCAUAAAGUAGGAGAAUUAUCUCUACUCGUCACAUCGGUCGGUAAGGCGAUUCCCUCAGAAGUUGACAUAUUUCAACUGGUCGUGUUAAUCAAUAAUCCUGAGACGAACCCGAUGGGUUUCUUCACAGUGUCUCGAGAAUUGCUUGGUCCGAUCUUUUCCACUUUUAUCACCUAUGGCAUUGUUAUGGUCCAAAUAAGUUCAAGUUUCCCUUAAAGUAAUGAAAAUACUUUUUUUUAAUGUUAGCAUAAGGAUUACAGUGUACCUGAGGUAUACAUUCGUUAGAAAUAAUUGAUUAAAUAA